rnacentral:rRNA from 1 species
GGGACAACCCGCCGAAAGGCGGGCUAAACCCGCGUACAUGCCACCGGGGCAUCCCGGAGGCAGGAAAGGCUUCGGCCGGACAGGGAUGGGCAUGCGGCGCAUUAGGCAGUAGGCGGGGUAACGGCCCACCUAACCGACGAUGCGUAGGGGUUCUGAGAGGAAGGUCCCCCACACUGGUACUGAGACACGGACCAGACUCCUACGGGAGGCAGCAGUGAGGAAUAUUGGUCAAUGGUCGGGAGACUGAACCAGCCAAGCCGCGUGAGGGAUGAAGGUACAGAGUAUCGUAAACCUCUUUUGUCAGGGAACAAAGGCGGGGACGUGUCCCCGGAUGAGUGUACCUGAAGAAAAAGCAUCGGCUAACUCCGUGCCAGCAGCCGCGGUAAUACGGAGGAUGCGAGCGUUAUCCGGAUUUAUUGGGUUUAAAGGGUGCGCAGGCGGUCUGUUAAGUCAGCGGUCAAAGCCCGGGGCUCAACCCCGGCCCGCCGUUGAAACUGGCAGUCUCGAGUUGGAGAGAAGUAUGCGGAAUGCGCGGUGUAGCGGUGAAAUGCAUAGAUAUCGCGCAGAACUCCGAUUGCGAAGGCAGCAUGCCGGCUCCACACUGACGCUGAGGCACGAAAGCGUGGGUAUCGAACAGGAUUAGAUACCCUGGUAGUCCACGCAGUAAACGAUGAAUGAUGGCUGUCCG